UAACGAAAAUGUAGAACGUAGAAAACUGCAACGCAGUGCGCGCGCAGCUUAGGGUUGCCAUGGCAACGUAGGGAGGGCUCCCCCCUUCAACCCUGUUAUUUGCCAGUGAUUUUGCGGACGAAGGAGGUUUUAUAUGUCUCGUGUGUUUAACUAUUUAGCCGGCUUUGGAACCUACAAGUGAAUCAACAGUCUUCAAUAAUAACUUUUUCUGCUCUUGUUCCAGAUUAUAAAGGAAUCGUUCAAACUGGCGGGGGAAGGGGCCUAUCGGGAUCUGCUGAUUCCACUUUUCACGGAUGACAGCGGAAUUGAUAGUGAUGAUGCUGAACGAGCGCGUGUGCAACUUAACCUUCGUGGUUUGAUACAAUUGACUGAAAGCAGUAGCAGUGAAGAAGAACCUGUGUUGAAGGAACCAUGGAUCCGAACGACAAAGAGGAGAUUUGAUGAGCAACUGAGAAAUAUGGAAGAGGGACUUUUCGAACGUGAGGUUCUUAUACCGUUGAAGCCGUGGAGGUCUUACUGCGAUGACGCGUCUCUCCCGAGCACACCAGAUAGAUCCUCGCCUCCUCUCUACGAAGUGGAACUGACGGCCUCUGAUGAAGACGACGACGCCUCCGUACUGGAGCUAGUGAUACCCGUCCAGACGAGGUAUAGAAUUGGAACCCCUCAAAACGCUAUCGCAGCCAGCAUCUUCUGCAGUCUCCUCUGCUGUUUUCGCAAUUAAUUGUAUCACGUGGUUAAAUUUGAUGUAACUUUUUUAAUCUCAACUACUUUUCGGAUGUUAGGCCUAAACGUGAAGCAUUCAUUUUAAUGUUCCAUUGAAAUUCCUUUAAAAUUCAAGAGAUCGUCAUAUCAAUUAAAGACGUCAAGACUUAAAUUUCUCGUUGUUGUGAUCGGUUGUAUAGAUGUUAAGUAAGACUUUUGUUUAAUAAAAAAUAUGUAUGAGCUCUUCAUAAUAUACUAAUCAUGAACAGGAUGCGAGUGCCAAAAUUCUAUGAUCUAUGACGAUAAUUUUUUUUUAUCUUCGUUCAUGCGACGUAAUGGAAGAUUAAGAAAAAAAUCUUUGUUAUAACUUUUAUUAUAUUUAUACAUAAAUAUGAUCUCGUUAAUAUGAGUAUUAUUAAAUAACAUAUUAUAUAUAUAUGUAUACAUAUUGUAAAACUAUUGUUAAAUUUUAAUCAAAAAUUUCCCAUUCAUGUAUUUAUGAAUUUGUAAUUUUUGUCAAUUAUAAUCUGUAAGUUGUUUAUUUUUAUAUAUAACCUUUUUUAUAAUCCGAUUUACAAAGUUUCUGGAACCUCUUUUCUUAUUACUUUUCGUCACCUUUCGGCUAUGAUACGAACGUGUGUCAUUGUAUGUAUGUAUCGAUGUAAUUUACUCAACGGGUAGAUAUUUAAAUGAAACUAAUAUCAUUCGGAUGUAAUACGCGUGAUUUAUUUUUGUAAAAAACUACACACUCAUGACGUUUCGGUUACUUUUCAGCGACCGUGAUCACGUCGGGAGUUUGUAGAUUUUACAUAAAUAAAGCACGCGUAUUAUAUCUAAACAAUAUAAGUUUCAUUUAAAUGAAUAAAACUCGCUAAAUUCUUAGAUCUCAUCAAUGAGUAGAUAGUUGAAACUUAAUACCAGGUAACGAUAAUUACAGUAAACAAAUGUAUAUCAUCUUUCAUUGAUCCAAAGAACUUAUCAUAUAUUGUAUCCCUGUACGCUAUAAAACAUUUGUUCUUUUGAUUCCGAUACUAAUAAAAUAUCUGUGUGUGA